CUUCGGGCCUCUUGCCAUCGGAUGUGCCCAGAUGGGAUUAGCUAGUAGGUGGGGUAACGGCUCACCUAGGCGACGAUCCCUAGCUGGUCUGAGAGGAUGACCAGCCACACUGGAACUGAGACACGGUCCAGACUCCUACGGGAGGCAGCAGUGGGGAAUAUUGCACAAUGGGCGCAAGCCUGAUGCAGCCAUGCCGCGUGUAUGAAGAAGGCCUUCGGGUUGUAAAGUACUUUCAGCGGGGAGGAAGGGAGUAAAGUUAAUACCUUUGCUCAUUGACGUUACCCGCAGAAGAAGCACCGGCUAACUCCGUGCCAGCAGCCGCGGUAAUACGGAGGGUGCAAGCGUUAAUCGGAAUUACUGGGCGUAAAGCGCACGCAGGCGGUUUGUUAAGUCAGAUGUGAAAUCCCCGGGCUCAACCUGGGAACUGCAUCUGAUACUGGCAAGCUUGAGUCUCGUAGAGGGGGGUAGAAUUCCAGGUGUAGCGGUGAAAUGCGUAGAGAUCUGGAGGAAUACCGGUGGCGAAGGCGGCCCCCUGGACGAAGACUGAC
rnacentral:rRNA from 1 species